rnacentral:rRNA from 1 species
UACGUAGGGUGCGAGCGUUUAAUCGGAAUUACUGGGCGUAAAGUGUGCGCAGGCGGCUUCGCAAGUCGAGUGUGAAAUCCCCGAGCUUAACUUGGGAAUUGCGCUCGAAACUACGGAGCUGGAGUGUGGCAGAGGAAGGUGGAAUUCCACGUGUAGCGGUGAAAAUGCGUAGAGAUGUGGAGGAACACCGAUGGCGAAGGCAGCCUUCUGGGCCAACACUGACGCUCAUGCACGAAAGCGUGGGGAGCAAACAGG